AUUAAACGCUGGCGGCAUGCCUUACACAUGCAAGUCGAACGGCAGCACGGGGGCAACCCUGGUGGCGAGUGGCGAACGGGUGAGUAACGCAUCGGAACGUGCCCUAGAGUGGGGGAUAACGUAGCGAAAGUUACGCUAAUACCGCAUAUUCUGUGAGCAGGAAAGCAGGGGAUCGCAAGACCUUGCGCUCUGGGAGCGGCCGAUGUCGGAUUAGCUAGUUGGUGGGGUAAAGGCCUACCAAGGCGACGAUCCGUAGCGGGUCUGAGAGGAUGAUCCGCCACACUGGGACUGAGACACGGCCCAGACUCCUACGGGAGGCAGCAGUGGGGAAUUUUGGGACAAUGGGCGCAAGCCUGAUCCAGCCAUGCCGCGUGAGUGAAGAAGGCCUCGGUU
rnacentral:rRNA from 1 species